GACCACCACCACCACCUCCGCUUCCUACGUCAUCACUCACGAUUUUUUUUUUUUUAAUUUUACGUGGAAACUAAAACGAAGGAUGAUUUUUUUUAUUAAUAUUCCGGGGUCGUGUUUUUACGUUUGACAAAUCAGAUUAAAAAAUAUAUGUGCGUAAAAAUCCAUCGAGGUGCUGAAAUUAAUAGAAAACCGAAUAAAAAAAAAAAAUUGUGUAGGGACUUGAUUCUCUUUUUUUUCUUUUCUUUUUUUCAUUCUUAUUUUCCUUUUCUCUUUUACUUUUCUCCUUCCAUUCAUUCUUUUUUUCCUUCUUUUAUUUUUUAUUUCCUCUUUCAUUUUUUUUUCUUUUUGUCUUUCUUCCUUCCUUUCUUCCCUCCUCCCUCCCUCCCUUCCUUCCUUCUUGUUUCCUCAAUUUUUUCUUCUUCCCUCCUUUCUUUCAUUUUUUAUUUUCCUUCUUUCUUAUUUUCCCUUUUUUUUCUUUUUCUUUCUUCUGUUCUUAUUUUCCUUCUCUUUCUGUUUUCUUUUCUUCUUCAUUCUUUCUUUCCCUCCUCCAUUCUUAUUUUCCUUCUCUCUUUGUUUUCUUUUCUUCUUCAUUCUCAUUUUCCUGCUUUUUUCUUUUCUCCUUCCUUCCUUCCUUCCUUUAUUCCUUCUUUCCUUUCUUCCAUUCUCAUUUUCCUUCUUUUCUUUUUCUUUUAUCUUUCCUUUUUUUUCUUUCAAUUAUUUUCCUUCUUUCUUUUUUUCAUUUUCCCUUCCUUCUUUCCUUCCUUUCUUCUGUUCCUUCCUUCUCCUCUUCCUUCCUUCCUUUCUUCUCAUUUCUACUUAUAUGUUUCUUAUUUCUCCUCCUCCUCCUUUUCCUAUUCUUCCUCUUCCUCCUUUUUCUCUCAUUUUUCCCCUUCCUUCCUUCCUUUCUUUUUCUCCUCCCAAUUCUCGUCUUUCCCUUUCACUUCUCCUCCUCCUCCUCCUCCUCUUCCGCCUUUAUUUUUUUUCUCAUUUUCGUUAUAUUCAAGUAAACAGAAAUAUUUGGACGCCCGGAAUGAAGUAAUUUAAGUGUCUUUAUAAAUGCGAGCAAACCAAUCUUCAAUUUUUUCUUCUAUUCCGGCACCAAAUCACUCCCUCCGUUAAACGUUCAUGACCUCGUUUUCGAAAUAUCAUAGUCGGGCAUUUAAAUAUUUUCGCUAACUCAGAUUUUUUUUUUCGUUUCCCGUCUAAUCGCACGAGCCGCCCGACGGUUUCAUAUAUCGUGUUCAACAUCUGGUGAGUAAUGUUUUAAUGUUUUAUGUGUGUGUGUGCGUGUGUGCGUGUUAUUCUCCUGUUUAAAACGUGUGUCGACCCCGUUUCGCUAAUCACUGGUCAUGUUUCACUUACUUCGCUCUGUUAAUUAUCUAUCUAAUUAUCUAUCUUAUUUUUACAGUAAGGGAGGCAGUUCAAAGGCAAAAACCAAAUACAACAAAAAAGGUCUCGCAUAUCUAUUUAUCAACCAUCUAACUAUAUUAAUUAACUAUCUAUAUUUCUGUCUAUUAGCUGUACAUAUAUCUAUCUAUCUCUAUUAACUAUCAAUCUAUUGACAAUCUAACUACAUAUCUAUUAAGUAUCAAUCUAUCUCUAACUAUCUGUCAAACUAUUAAUGUUAUCCAAAUCACUCGAAAUCUCUUUGGUGGAUAUUUUUUCACUAAUCCGAAUUGUAAUCCCUUAUGUGUAAACUUGUAAGGUAAGGUAAACUUAGGAGUAUAUGCUAGAGUUUCUUUUUCCGUCUGCCUAUGCCGCCGGUGGCUUUGUUAGUGGGGCCUGGUGGUCGGCCCCAGCCCGUUAUGGCGCAGGCAAGUGUUUAUAGAGGCGCCAUCUUGCUUCCCUCAUGCUGCCCCCCGGAGCUCGUGAUCCUCAUUUAGAGAGAGAAUUUAGAGUCCGGGUUGAUAGGUGGUUUUCAGGACAGCAUGUGAUGUGGGUAGAUUUUUCAGUCACCGCCCUGAAAAAUCCCAGCUGUGGAGGCGGGCAGGACGCGAACCCGGGUACACCAGGAUUUCGCGCCCGCAAGCUAACCGUUCAGCCACCACCUGGGCGAGGACCUUGAGAAACGUUCAAACUCAGACCAAAAAGAGAUUUCCUUCGAGGGUUAAAUAUCUGGCCUCCAGACGGGAAGGGAAAUCUUAGGUUUGCAUUCCCUGAAGAUUCCGCCCCUCACAUCAACUAUUUCCAAAGGCCAAGAACGAGAUCAGUCGGGUUCUAAUGAGUGUUUUCUUAGGUUCACGCUGCAGAGGAAGGGUCAAAUUACCAGCAGGGUCAUAAAACUACCCCUGAAAGUGCCCCAAACCCCUACGGAAGCCUUGUCAAAUGUGUUUCUUUAAGUUCAUGGUACAGAAAAAGGGUCAAACUACCACCAGGGUCAUAAAACUACACCUGGAAAUGCCCACCACUCCUACGAAAGCCUUAUCAAAUAAUAUGUUCUUCUAGGUUCAUGGUACAGAGGAAGGGUCAAACUACCAGCAGGGUCAUAAAACUACCCCUGAAAGUGCCCCAAACCCUACGGAAGCCUUAUCAAUUAUGUGUGUUUCUUUAGGUUCAUGGUACAGAGGAAGGGUCAAACUACCACCAGGGUCAUAAAACUACCCUUGACAGUGUCGCAAACUCCUACGAAAGCCUUGUCAAAUAUGUUCUUCUAGGUUUAUGGUACAGAGGAAGGGCCAAACUACCAUCAGGGUUAUAAAACUUCCCCUGAAAGUGCCCCAAACCCCUACGGAAGCCUUGUCAAAUAUGUUCUUCUAGGUUUAUGGUACAGAGGAAGGGCCAAACUACCACCAGGGUCAUAAAACUACCCUUGACAGUGUCGCAAACUCCUACGAAAGCCUUGUCAAAUAUGUUCUUCUAGGUUUAUGGUACAGAGGAAGGGUCAAACUACCAUCAGGGUUAUAAAACUUCCCCUGAAAGUGCCCCAAACCCCUACGGAAGCCUUGUCAAAUAUGUUCUUCUAGGUUUAUGGUACAGAGGAAGGGCCAAACUACCAUCAGGGUUAUAAAACUUCCCCUGAAAGUGCCCCAAACCCCUACGGAAGCCUUGUCAAAUAGGUGAGCUUUGGAGCCGAAAUGUUUAAGAAUCUGAACCUUGAUAUCUUGACGCAUUUAUGAAGUGACAGAUUCCGACCCACGAGAGGCCCCGCAGAGUGACGCGCCGUGACCAAAGGGAACCGUGAUAGCUAAUUGGACGGGAGACUCGGCCUGUCACCUCCACGCCUCUCUGGGAACGCGUCCACAUCAGGUCCUCGUCAUGUUGUCACUACCAGGCCGUGUACGAAUUUAAAGGUGGAGAGGUAGAUAAACAGGAAGACAGGUAGGUAGGUAGAUGGAUAGACAGGUAGAUAUAGAUAGACAGGUAGAUAAAAUUGGUGAUAAAUAUCGUCGUUACUACCUCGUAUGCAAAUUCAUAGGUAGAAAGGUCAAACUACCACCAGGGUCAUAAAACUACCUCUGGAAAUGCCCCAAACUCCUACGAAAGCCUUGUCAAAUGUGUGUUUCUUUAGGUUCAUGGUACAGAAGAAGGGUCAUAAAACUACCCCUGGAAAUGCCACAAACUCCUACGAAAGCCUUGUCAAAUGUGUGUUUCUUUAGGUUCAUGGUACAGAAGAAGGGUCAUAAAACUACCCCUGGAAAUGCCAAAACUCCAACGAAAGCCUUGUCAAAUACAUGUGCUUGGGAUCCGAAUAAUAAGAAUAAUAUGUAAUAAAUGUUUUCUUGGUAUUGUGUUCCUGAGUGGUGUUAUCGGGUCUACGGCACCGUGUCACCUGUGUAGAAAGAAUGGGUAUCGGCGUGUUGAUUGGUUAUCGGAAGGGCAGGUGUUUGUGAGGCGGUGAGAGGCCUUAUAUGUAAGCAUCGACACACCUGGUAGAUUACACCUCCGGGAACAUAAAUUAGCGGCGACCAAGGUUUUCCGGGUAUUGCUUUUUUUUGUUUUCUUUCUUUCAUUUCUUCUGUUAUUAACUCUUUCUUUUUCCUUCCUUCCUUCCUUCUCUCUUUUUUUAUUGUUUCUUUUCUUUUAUUAUUUUUCCUUUCAUCAUUCAUUCUUUUUUUUUCUCUUUUUUCUUUUUCUUUCUUUCUUUCUUCGUUCCUGACUUUCUUUCUUUCUCUCUUUUAUUCAUUCUCUCUCUCUCUCUCUCUCUCUCUCUCUCUCUCUCUCUCUCUCUCUCUCUCUCUCUCUCUCUCUCUCUCUCUCUCUCU